AGACAAGAUUGUCCUAAAAUUGGAAAAGUGAAGGAAAUAAAAUAACUAAAACUAUUUUGAAAAAGAAGAAUAAAGUGGAAGGAGUCAGUCUAUCUGAUUUUAAGAGUUUCAGAGUAGAGUUGAAUGGUUUGCACAAAGAAGCAGAAUAUGUAUUGCUGAAAAUACAUUUUAAUCUCAUCUGAAAGAGUGAAUAAGGAGGAAGUCAUAGCAAUAACAGGACAAAGAAGAGAAGCUGAAUUAUCUGACUGUUGAAGUUCAGGAAAAAGUUAUGAUUGCUGAAGAUGCGUCUCUGCCCUAAAUACAGUGCACAGAAGAAAUGGACCCUAAUGUUGAGCUCCUUCCUGUUGAUUUCAAGG